UAAAAAUUGAGUUUGAUGAUGGCUCUGAUUGAACGCUAUCCAAGUGCUUGACACAUGCUAAUCGAACGUCAUUAUCUAUAUAAGAUAAUGAAGUGGUGUACAGGUGAGUAAAUAUUUUAACUACCUUAAAGAAAGGGGAAAAUCCCUUAUAAAAAAAAAAUAAAACAAAGUUUUGCUUUAAGAUGUUAAUAAAUAUAUCGGAAAGUAUUAGAUAAGGUAAAAACUUAACUAGCGAUAAUUCCGUAGUCGAGACUGAGAGGUCGAUCGAUCACAUUGGGUCUGAAAAAAGCCCAAUGCGUAUUAGUACAGCAGUGAGGAAUAUUGGUCAAUGGCCUAACGGCUGAACCAGCAACUUGGAAGAAUGAGAAGUAUUAAAAAAAAUUAAUACGAAACGAAUAUAUCGUAUGAAAUUCUAGAUAAAUUAUUGAUAAUGACAAUUAUUUAUUUAUAAGUCUUGACCAAAUUACGUGCCAGCAGUCGCGGUAAUACGUAGAAGACUAGUGUUAAUCAUCUUUAUUAGGUUUAAAGGGUACCUAGACGGUAAAUUAAACCCGAGAGGGUACUUUUUUACUAGAGUUUUAUAAGAGAAGGGGAGAAUUUUUGGAGUAAAGAUAAAAUUUAAUUAUACCAAAAGGACUGAUAACGGCGUAGGCGGCCUUUUAUGUAAAAACUGACGUUGAGGGACGAAGGCUUGGGUAGCAAUAAGGAUUAGAUACCCUAGUAGUCCAAGCAGAAAAUUAUGAAUGUCAUAAGUUAGAUAUAAUUUAACUUAUAAAUGAAAGUGUAAGCAUUCCACCUCAAGAGUAAGAUGGCAACAUUGAAACUGAAAUCAUUAGACCGUUUCUGAAACCAGUAGUGAAGUAUGUUAUUUAAUUCGAUAAUCCGCGAAAAACCUUACCACACUUUGUAUAAUAUUAAAUUAUUACAAGCGCUGCACGGCUGUCUUCAGUUAAUGUCGUGAGAUUUGGUUAACUCCUUAAAUUAACGAAAACCCUCAUUUUAUUUAUUUAUAUAAAAUGGUUCACCAUUAUAUAGGAUUUGAUAAAAGGGAUUAAGACAAGUCAUCAUGGCCAAAAUAGUGUGGGCUAUAGACGUGCCACAGAUACCUUAACAAAGGGAUGCUAUAUUGUAAAAUGGAGCUAAUCCUCAAAAUUGGUUAAUAAGAAUUGUAGUCUGAAAUUCGACUACAUGAAUAAGGAAUUACUAGUAAUCGUGAAUCACCACGUCACGGUGAAUCUAUUCUCAGUUAGGUACUAACCACUCGUCAGGCGCUGAAAGAAGUAUAUGCAAUAAGUUUGAUUUGUGUUUAUUUUAAUAUAUAUAGUUAUUUAUAUAUAAAUAAACAUAUAAUUUUCGUAUGUGUGACUUUGAUUGGUGUUAAGUCGAAAUACGGUUCGUGUAAUGGAAAUUGCACGGGAUGAAUGAUUUUU
rnacentral:rRNA from 1 species